AAAGGUUGUUUGAUCCUAAACUAGUGGAAGAAGAAUUCCUUGACAAAUUCAGCAAGAUUCUGGAAGAAAGAAACAUGUCUGUAAAUGUCCAAACACUGUCAUCAUUCAAUAGGGACAAUGUUUAAACAUGCAGCAGAAGCAGUCUCUGAUUAAGCCAGUUACAAAGGAGGAAAUCUCUCAGGCAAUAAAUGAUAUGCCCCAUGACAAAACACCAAGAGUAGAUGGCUUCCCAG
rnacentral:lncRNA from 1 species